rnacentral:rRNA from 2 species
UUUUACAAUGAAGAGUUUGAUCCUGGCUCAGGAUGAACGCUAGCUACAGGCCUAACACAUGCAAGUCGAGG